GGUGGGUUGGCUCAGUGGUUAGAGCGUAGGUCUCGUAACCCAAAGAUUGCGGGAUCGAAUCCCGCUAGAGGCUG
rnacentral:tRNA from 1 species